ensembl:lncRNA
GGGACACAUUAUCUGCUUAUUUUAGCCAGCUUAUAAUGCUUAAAAUAUUAAUAAAAGUGUUUUAUUAUUAUGCAUUACUUUGUACCUGUCUCUCUUGUCCCCCAUAUUAUUGUCUUCUCACCAUUCACCUUUAUACAGAAUAAACUUUAAUGCAAGGCAGGACUGUCAACAGACGAACUGCAUGCUUUACCCCAGUGGCUCGUCCUAUUCAAAACUCUUUAGCAGGCGUCACAUAACACGGGUCUUCCUGAAGUAGUCCUGUUUUUCUUACCAGGAGAAUUUAGGUCAAAGUGGACUGAUGGCCUGCAGGUUUUUCUCUAACCUCAAAGGCUUGUGGGUUUAACUUUGCAGAGAUUAUUAUAGAAAUAAUAAAAUACAGAAAGGCAAGAGGAACACAAUCUACAGUCAGUAUGAUUAAUAAACAGAGUGUACUUUGUUACAAUAAAACUGUAGCAUCCAUGUGCAAACGUAUAAGCUCAUAUCUUUUGCAAAGAAUUGGAAAAUAUUGAAACCGCACAUAAGCAUCCCAACCUUUCCUUCAUCCCAGUGUUUUUUCAAAUGGUCAAGAAAACAUAAGGGUGUUCCUGAGGGUGGGACCUUCAGCUUCUUAGCGAAUAGCUUGUCAGUCCUUGAGCCUGAAGCAAAGGAGGGGUUUGAUAUAAAGCUACCUCAUCUGUGCUUGGAUAUGCUCAACAAGUCCAGGCUUUCCCUUCUUCAUAAUAUUUAAAAAGCAUUUUUUUUUUCUGGAACAUUUUCACUGCCAUUGGACUUUAAGGAUUUUUACACAUGACAGACAGCCUACAAAAAGGUUCCAAAGGACACCCCACUUUCCAAGCAUUUGGUUCUGUCAUAUUUACACAUAAAAGCUGACCAUGACCACCGUAAAUGCCCCUGUGUGUCUCCUUGCUCGGAAUGAGUUUUAUCGGAGCAUCUGCCCAACAGACAAAAUAAAGGCAGUCAAUAGUCUUUCUGAUAACUUAAUGGAACCAAAGCAAAGACAAGUGACUUUCUGGGUGACCAAAUCCAAGCACCAAGAUUUAGGGCCAGUGAGUGAUGGCUGGACAAUAAAUGUGGUUUUAAAGAGCCCGGCAUCCAGGGGAACCUCUUCCAAACGGCAAAGCCCUGCUGAUCGUGAGGUGAAGUAGACACCUGCACAAGAAUAGCGUGUAGAGUGCUGAAAAAAAUAUAUGCUUUACUACAGACACAAUAUGUGAAUGUGCUGUUUAAAAGUGAGGCUUCUAGUUUUUAUUUUUUAGGGCCUCAAGCAGGUAGGAUUGUAAGGAUUUUUGUUAUUAUUUUUCUGCUGUAAAACUGAUCAUGCAGACCAAACAAUAGGCCUGGAGACUUGAAACCUGGCCAGAGGGUAGAGCUCAAUUUGGGAAGUGACUGGCAAAGACUCACCCCAAUGCUAAAUAAUUGCAAAAUAAUGUGUGAUGUCUUUUUUCAUAUGUUUUUAAAUGCAUUAAAGUGCCAUGUUUUUUUCUUACUUGGUUACUUGUUGCAGUGUUAUUUUGAGAUCUAGAGGCUUUUUAAUGCUAAAGAAGGACAAAUUAUUUUUCGUUUACUCUACCAUUCAGAGGUUUGGGGUUAUCAAGUCUCUUAUGUUCACCAAGGCUGCAUUUACUUGAUUAGAAAUAUAGUAAAAACAAGAACAUUGUAAAAUAUUGUUACAGUUUAAAAGAAGUUUUGAAUAUAUCUUCAAAUAUAAUUUAUUUCCGUGAUGUAAAGCUGAAUUUUCAGCAUCAUUACUCCAGUCUUCAGUGUGAAACGAUUUUUCAGAAAUAUUUCUAAUAUGAUGAUUUGCUGUUCAAGAAACAUUUAUUAUAAUUAUAAGUGUUUAAAACAGUUGUGCUGCUUAAAAUUUUUGUGGACACCACAAUACAAUUUUUUGAGAUUAUUUGAUCUGUUUAUAUAAAGUUCAAAAGAGCAGUGUUUGUUUGAAAUGUGAUUUCUUGUAACAUUACAAAUCAAUCACUCAUCCUUUCUGACAUUUUUUCAUUAAAAAAAAAAAAAAAUUGAUCCCAAAAUUUUGAACAGUACUGUAAAUAUACUGCAUAAUAUCCAUAUAGACAAGUGUUGCAUUUAUUCUGCCUCACUUUACACAAGGCCAGACCCCACCAACAGUCUGAGACAAAGUACUCCUAAAAGAAUGAAUUGGAGAAAUUGCAGCUAAAAAUAUGUUGACAUACCUUGCCAUUAAAAGAUCCAAAUAUUUAAGAGAGCCAUCGUUUAUUUGCUUUUUACAUGUGCAUCAGCUGGACCAACCUAAACUGUAAUUUGUGUUUUGACAUAUAAUACAGUUAGAUUUAAUUGUCAAGAUUAAUUUGACAUGGCAAUGAAUGUCCUUUCAACUACAUAAAAAACAUUUUCUACUGGCUACAUAGGAAAUAGCCAAUAUGACGACUGAGUAAACUGAUUAGUCAUUUACAGAUUUUGACAUCCCUCAAUUCUGGCCAUAAAAAUUACAUUCAAUUUCUUUUCAUCUUCAAUAAACUACCAAUCACCGAACCUGUCA